GAAUAGUUGGAAGUGCUGCUUUCACUGGAAGUCAUAUAUGGAUUCAUCGAGAAAACGGCAUGGGGGAAGGUCAUCCAUAUGAGGUUAUGGCUGAGGUGAACCACCAAUUUUCAGCUGGCAUGCAGACAUUUAUAGCAUUCCUGU